CGGACGGUAUAUGGGUUAAUAUU
rnacentral:piRNA from 1 species